AACGCACGAGACCUGCGGACCUGCGGAGGGAUCAUUAACGAGUGUAACUUACCCUUUUUUUUAAAAGAGGGUAGUACCUCCUGUCCUUUGUAGGCCCCUUUUUAUUGGGGGGCUUUUUAAGACUUUCUGCUUCGGCGGGGUUAUUCCCGCCGGAACACCCUCAAAAAACUCUUCAAAAACUAAUUCAGUCCGAGAAUUUUUGAAAAUAAAAAAAACUUUUAGCAAUGGAUCUCUAGAUCG
rnacentral:misc_RNA from 1 species